AUGGAGGAUAUGUGGAGAUAUUUCACUCUACCCUCUCUUGAUCUGGACUGCCUUCUCUCUGUGAAAUGGAAAAUCCGUCAGGAAGGAUUGCUGAACUCGCACCUGAAAACCAAUCUUGACUUUUCAAUCCGAGCCCUGGAGGCCUUUCCUGCAUCCAAGCGGUGUGACAUCUCUCUAACACUGGAAGGAGAGCGCCACCUGGUGCGUAUCACCACCAGAACACCUGCCCUGUCCUACAUGGUACAUCUGGGCUCAAAGGGGCCACAGCUCCUCCAAAGGACCCAUCUGGAAUCUCGACUCACAACCUCCAGCCUGGCAGAUAGCCACUUUGCUGGACAUCACUGUCAUGAUGAGUUGGAAAGCUGCUUUGAGCAGGCUAAAAAAGUCCUGAGCAGCGAAGGCUGAAAAUAAUCCAUCAGUUCUGGAUCACAUGGAGCUCAAGAUCACCUGUGGAGACCUGCACCUCAUGUACAGCACUCAUCAGCCCCUGCACACCCUCCACGCCAGAGAAUUU
ensembl:lncRNA